rnacentral:tRNA from 1 species
CUCUCUGUAGCUCAGUUAUUUGGAGCGCUGCACCGGAAUCGCAGGGUCGCAGGUUCGAUUCCUGACAGGGACC